CGAAUUCAACAACAAUGAAGCUGAGCUUCAUGUCCUUGAUCUACUUGAGAUAGACCUGAUUCUCUGAAGAUACGUUAUCGGAAAACAGUGCCAGACCCAGCAGUAUGGAAUGCCUAAACGUACCGAAUUUGUUUGAAAAAAUACCAUUAACGGGCGACACCAAAGCGUUGUAAAGUAAACCGACGGUUUUAUCCCCGAAGACUGUUAUGAUGCUUCCAGCUUUUCGGAAAUCUCUCAGCGCCAAUUACUCAAGUGUGUGUUCAUGUGUUUUACUUCAUGAUUCAUCGGGUGUUAUAAAUUUUUGUGAAAAAAUUUCUAAAAAAACACCCGAUGAAGUACGAAAAAUGAGUAUGAUUUCAAGGCCUUCUUUCAUAACGCUGAUCCCACGAGAUGAUCGUUGAUAAACGUCAAAUGCGAGAUUGAUCUCUUUGCAUUGUUCGGAGGCGUUCAUGUUUGAGCCAAGGCACCACAUACGGAGAGGAAACACAUAAGCUAGAGUUAUCGUCGAGAUGUAAACAAUCUAUUUGUCGUCUGAAAUAAUUGGGCUGCAGCCCUAUCAAAGGCAGUGGCCGUAGAGAUGAGCAGGCGUGCGUGACAAGAAUACCCAAAUAAUACUGAGCCUACAACGAAAUCAAAAAAGACGGAAAAGAAAACGAAAAUAAAUGAUCGAACCACAACAAUAACAGGCAAAAUAUGAUGGCCACGCGGAAUUACCACCAA
rnacentral:lncRNA from 11 species